UGCCUUGUGCUCUCUUUGCAGUGAUGGGAGCAUCAGCCAGCCCUACCCAUACCCCCAUGUCCCUGCUCUCGGGUGAGCUCCCCCAUCCCAAACCUUGGUGCUGAAUUGGAAACAGGCUUUGCCUUCUGCUCCCAUCAAUUCCCCUUUUGGCUGAUGAGGAUUUUGCUUCUCUGUGCUGCGUGAGCUGCCAGCAAGGUCAUCGGAAGCUCCUUGGUGUCCUUGACACUGCACCGUGGGGUCAGUGCAAUGUGUUCCCCAAGGGCUUUUUUCCUCCAUCCCAUUGAUCAUUAGAAGUUCCUUGGGGUCAGUGGGACAUGUUCCUCAAUGGCUUUCUUCCUCCACCUUGUAGCUCUGGUCAUUAGAAACUCUUUAAUAUUAUCAAUGCUAUGCUAUGGGAUCAAUGGAACGUGUACCCCAAUGGCUUUGUUCCUCCAUCCCAUAGCUUUGGUCAUUGGAAGAUCCUCGAUGUCAACAGGAUGUGUUCCCCAAUGGCUUUGUUCUCUAAUCCCAUAGCUUUGGUCAUUGGAAGCUCUUUGGUGUCGUUGGCACUGCCACGGGAUCAGUAGGAUGCGUUCCCCAGUGUUUUUCUCUUGCAUCCCACUGGUCUUUGGAAGCUCCUUGAUGUCAUCAGCACUGUGCCAUGGGAUCAGUGGGAUGUGUUCCCCAAUGGCUUUGUUCCUCCAUCUCAUGGCUUUGCUUCGCAGGCAGCGUGGAGCAGAGCUUUGCCAUCAGCUCAGUACCACUCAACCUCGACUGGGAUGGGCAUACGCCCCACAUCCAAGGCUCUUCCUCCCAUCCUAGGUAGGGUCAGAGAUGUUUCACCCCUUUUCCUCCUUCCUUUUUGCUCACCCCAAGUUCUACUAGCACUUUCGCAGGGGUGUUCGCAGCAUGAGAAAUGGCCAUUAUUUUACUGACUGUAUUUGGUACCUAUCGUGUGAUACUUGAAGAGAUCGGGGCGUUUUGCCCUCCAUCAGAGUCUAAACUCUCUUUUAUUUUCUUUUUUUUUUUCCCCCCUUUUUUUCUUGCGUUGUGAUGUAGUGGGCACAUCUGCCCCCGCUGACAAAAUGCCUCUUCUCUAAGAGUAUAACCUCUCCGGUAGUUGUGUAUAAUGACAGAACUGUAAACUUUUUUUAAAAUAAAAAAUAUGUAUAUACCUCAGAGGCUGCCUGGUGCUUGAGCUUCAUGCAGGAAGGGGUCCUCUACCCCACGUCAUUGGCUCUGUGGGAUUUAUGGCACCCGUGGGGCAUUUUUUGGGUUGGGGAUGAGCUCUUGGCUGAUGGAAAAUAAAUCAUCGUGGCUGAUGACUGAAAAUGGGGCUGCAUGGGUUUGGAUGCUGGGCACACACCUGUUUUUCUGUGGAAUCAUUAGGUUUGGAAAAGACCUCUGUGGUGGCCACCCAGUCCAGCCAUCAACCCAUCACCACCAUGCCCACUCAUGGAAUCACUGAGGCUGGAAAAGAUUGCUGAGAUCAUGGAGUCCAACCAUCAACCCAACACCAAAAACCUCUGGGAUCAAUCCUCUAGUCCAAUCUUCAACCCAUCACCAACCCCUAUGCCCACUACACCACGUCCCUAAAUCCCAUGUGUGAUGUUUGGCUUGAUGUUGGAUGGAAAUUGGGACAUAGGAUGAUGCAUGUAGGGAUGUGAGUUCCCCAACCAUUGGUGUUUUGUGGGGCAGGACAAGGGGAAAGGGGAUGCAAGCCCAUUACUGGGCCAUGGUCUCAUAUGUGGCUUGUCCCCCUUGCCCCCCAUCC
rnacentral:lncRNA from 1 species